GACGAACGCUGGCGGCGUGCCUAACACAUGCAAGUCGAACGGUAAGGCCCUUCGGGGUACACGAGUGGCGAACGGGUGAGUAUCACGUGGGUGAUCUGCCCUGCACUUCGGGAUAAGCCUGGGAAACUGGGUCUAAUACCGGAUAGGACCACUGCCUGCAUGGGUGGUGGUGGAAAGCUUUUGCGGUGUGGGAUGGGCCCGCGGCCUAUCAGCUUGUUGGUGGGGUGAUGGCCUACCAAGGCGACGACGGGUAGCCGGCCUGAGAGGGUGACCGGCCACACUGGGACUGAGAUACGGCCCAGACUCCUACGGGAGGCAGCAGUGGGGAAUAUUGCACAAUGGGCGCAAGCCUGAUGCAGCGACGCCGCGUGAGGGAUGACGGCCUUCGGGUUGUAAACCUCUUUCAGCACCGACGAAGCGCAAGUGACGGUAGGUGCAGAAGAAGGACCGGCCAACUACGUGCCAGCAGCCGCGGUAA
rnacentral:rRNA from 1 species